UACGUAGGGGGGCAAGCGUUGUCCGGAUUCAUUGGGCGUAAAGAGCGUGUAGGCGGCCAGGUAGGUCGGUUGUGAAAACUCGAGGCUCAACCUCGAGAUGUCGAUGGAAACCGUCUGGCUAAAGUCCGGAAGAGGAGUGUGGAAUUCCUGGUGUAGCGGUGAAAUGCGCAGAUAUCAGGAAGAACACCUAUGGCGAAGGCAGCACUCUGGGACGGUACUGACGCUGAGGCACGAAAGCUAGGGUAGCGAACGGG
rnacentral:rRNA from 1 species